rnacentral:rRNA from 1 species
UACGUAGGUGACAAGCGUUGUCCGGAUUUACUGGGCGUAAAGAGCGCGCAGGCGGUCGUUCAAGUCGAGUGUGAAAGCCCCCGGCUCAACUGGGGAGGGUCAUUCGAUACUGAUCGACUCGAAGGCAGGAGAGGGUAGUGGAAUUCCCGGUGUAGUGGUGAAAUUCGUAGAUAUCGGGAGGAACACCCAGUGGCGAAGGCGACUACCUGGCCUGUUCUUGACGCUGAGGCGCGAAAGCUAGGGGAGCAAACGGG